CAGCCGCGGUAAUUCCAGCUCCAGUAGCAUAUAUUAAAGUUGUUGCAGUUAAAAAGCUCGUAGUCGAACGUCGGGGUUCUGAGACUGGCCUGGCAAUGCCAGGACUGGUGUUGGGAUCCUUUUUCUUGGUGAGAUGCACUGCUCUUAAUUGAGUGGGGUACGGAAGCAAGAUGUUUACUGUGAAAAAAUUAGAGUGUUUAAAGCAGGCUUAUGCCGUUGAAUAUAUUAGCAUGGAAUAAUAAGAUAGGACUUUGAGUCUAUUUUGUUGGUUUGCGAGUCAAAGUAAUGAUUAAUAGGGACAGUUGGGGGUAUUCGUAUUUCAUUGUCAGAGGUGAAAUUCUUGGAUUUCUGAAAGACGAACUACUGCGAAA
rnacentral:rRNA from 11 species